rnacentral:lncRNA from 10 species
GUAAGUAGAGACUUUAGUGUUCAAAACCAGAGCAGUCUGACCCCAGAGCCUGGGACCCCAGAGGUAGACAGUGAUACUCAGUGAGUGCUUGGAGCCCACAGAGGGUGGAGGGAGUGGUUCCUGGAUGAAGUAGAUCUGAAGGGUGGGUGAGGUUCAUUUGAAAGGCGAGAAUUGGAGGCAUGUCUGGAAGUUGGUGCUGGAGGUGCCCAGGGAGACUUGCUGGUUGAGCAGGUGGCCGGCUUGCAUGGAUCUUGGGGAGCAGGGGACAGGUUCAAAGAAACACAUCUUUAAACAUUGGCCACCAGGUGGCGCCGCAGGCCAAUUCCUAGAAGCGGCUCCAGCCUCAGCGCCCUCACUAGGGCCCAGGUAUGACUUCGCUGCUCAGCCAGGGCUCCAUGCUCGGCUUGCUUCCUCAG